rnacentral:lncRNA from 1 species
GCCGUAGAGGCUGGCUAGCUUCUUCUAGAAUUAUUUGGUUUCUGAAACAGUUGAGGGGCUUAUCCGUGGUUUCCACUGUGUAAGACAGAGAGAGCGCGCUGUGCACCGUGGCAGCAUCGGACUGAGGCUCUUCGUGUAGGUUAUUAAUGUUUUGUCUGGACAAGGCGUCGGCCACGAAGUUUUCCUUACCCGGCGUUAUGUUCCUCUAUAAAGGCUUUCCACCCUUUGAUUUUGGCAUUUGUGUUCC